CACGUAGGGGGCGAGCGUUGUCCGGAAUCAUUGGGCGUAAAGAGCUCGUAGGCGGCUCAGUAAGUCGGGUGUGAAGCCCUCAGGCUCAACCUGGGGACGCCACCCGAUACUGCUGUGGCUAGAGUCCAGUAGGGGAGUGUGGAAUUCCCGGUGUAGCGGUGAAAUGCGCAGAUAUCGGGAGGAACACCAGCGGCGAAGGCGGCACUCUGGGCUGGUACUGACGCUGAGGAGCGAAAGCGUGGGUAGCAAACAGG
rnacentral:rRNA from 1 species